GACGAACGCUGGCGGCGUGCUUAACACAUGCAAGUGGAGCGACGAACCAGGCUUCGGCCUGGGGCAAAGCCGCGAACGGGUGAGUAACACGUGGGUAACCUGCCCCGAUGACUGGGACAACCCGGGGAAACCCGGGCUAAUACCGGAUGUGCGUUCACCACAUCAGUGGUGAAAGUAAAGAAAGCUUCGGCCUUCGCAUCGGGAUGGGCCCGCGGCCCAUUAGCUUGUUGGUGAGGGAACGGCUCACCAAGGCGACGAUGGGUAGCUGGUCCGAGAGGACGAUCAGCCACACUGGGACUGAGACACGGCCCAGACUCCUACGGGAGGCAGCAGUGGGGAAUCUUGCGCAAUGCGCGAAAGCGUGACGCAGCAACGCCGCGUGAGUGAAGAAGGCCUUCGGGUUGUAAAGCUCUUUCAGUUGGGACGAAGUCUGGCUGGUGAAUAGCCUGCCCAGGUGACGGUACCUUCACAAGAAGCCCCGGCUAACUACGUGCCAGCCGCCGCCGUAA
rnacentral:rRNA from 1 species